rnacentral:rRNA from 1 species
AAAUUGAAGAGUUUGAUCAUGGCUCAGAUUGAACGCUGGCGGCAGGCCUAACACAUGCAAGUCGAACGGUAACAGGAAGCAGCUUGCUGCUUCGCUGACGAGUGGCGGACGGGUGAGUAAUGUCUGGGAAACUGCCUGAUGGAGGGGGAUAACUACUGGAAACGGUGGCUAAUACCGCAUAACGUCGCAAGACCAAAGAGGGGGACCUUCGGGCCUCUUGCCAUCAGAUGUGCCCAGAUGGGAUUAGCUAGUUGGUGAGGUAACGGCUCACCAAGGCGACGAUCCCUAGCUGGUCUGAGAGGAUGACCAGCCACACUGGAACUGAGACACGGUCCAGACUCCUACGGGAGGCAGCAGUGGGGAAUAUUGCACAAUGGGCGCAAGCCUGAUGCAGCCAUGCCGCGUGUAUGAAGAAGGCCUUCGGGUUGUAAAGUACUUUCAGCGGGGAGGAAGGUGUUGUGGUUAAUAACCGCAGCAAUUGACGUUACCCGCAGAAGAAGCACCGGCUAACUCCGUGCCAGCAGCCGCGGUAAUACGGAGGGUGCAAGCGUUAAUCGGAAUUACUGGGCGUAAAGCGCACGCAGGCGGUCUGUCAAGUCGGAUGUGAAAUCCCCGGGCUCAACCUGGGAACUGCAUUCGAAACUGGCAGGCUUGAGUCUUGUAGAGGGGGGUAGAAUUCCAGGUGUAGCGGUGAAAUGCGUAGAGAUCUGGAGGAAUACCGGUGGCGAAGGCGGCCCCCUGGACAAAGACUGACGCUCAGGUGCGAAAGCGUGGGGAGCAAACAGGAUUAGAUACCCUGGUAGUCCACGCCGUAAACGAUGUCUACUUGGAGCUUGUGCCCUUGAGGCGUGGCUUCCGGAGCUAACGCGUUAAGUAGACCGCCUGGGGAGUACGGCCGCAAGGUUAAAACUCAAAUGAAUUGACGGGGGCCCGCACAAGCGGUGGAGCAUGUGGUUUAAUUCGAUGCAACGCGAAGAACCUUACCUGGUCUUGACAUCCACAGAAGAAUCCAGAGAUGGAUUGGUGCCUUCGGGAACUGUGAGACAGGUGCUGCAUGGCUGUCGUCAGCUCGUGUUGUGAAAUGUUGGGUUAAGUCCCGCAACGAGCGCAACCCUUAUCCUUUGUUGCCAGCGGUUAGGCCGGGAACUCAAAGGAGACUGCCAGUGAUAAACUGGAGGAAGGUGGGGAUGACGUCAAGUCAUCAUGGCCCUUACGACCAGGGCUACACACGUGCUACAAUGGCGCAUACAAAGAGAAGCGACCUCGCGAGAGCAAGCGGACCUCAUAAAGUGCGUCGUAGUCCGGAUUGGAGUCUGCAACUCGACUCCAUGAAGUCGGAAUCGCUAGUAAUCGUGGAUCAGAAUGCCACGGUGAAUACGUUCCCGGGCCUUGUACACACCGCCCGUCACACCAUGGGAGUGGGUUGCAAAAGAAGUAGGUAGCUUAACCUUCGGGAGGGCGCUUACCACUUUGUGAUUCAUGACUGGGGUGAAGUCGUAACAAGGUAACCGUAGGGGAACCUGCGGUUGGAUCACCUCCUUA